UCGUGCGAAGACAGAAAGAUAAGCGUGGGCUGUGGAAAAGUGGAGCCUGUGCGCCAUGAAUAUGCAACUCUAGGCUUCGGAGCUUAGCAUAUUUCAUUCUGUUGCAAGUUGAAACGUGUAGGUAUAUCUCCUUGGCCCAACUCAAAAGGUAGAUGUUUUCUGCCUUCUGCGAGUACAGACACUUGGCAGCCAGCUUUCUCUGAACGUUCGUCUGGAAAAGAAUCUCCGCUUGUUGGGGCGCCGAAGCCAUCGUGGGCACACGGUAGGAAACAGAAGAAGCAAAGCUCUGCAUUCCUUCCUCCAAUCCCAUGCCUGCCCUUCAAUCGCUCUGAGACGGAAGAUGUCUUUUCCUGAAGUUUCCUGGAGCCGCGGAGAGCCCCACAUCUGGAGGGUCUCUGAACUGGAGUGUGAUGAGAAAACCCAGAGAGAGAGCAGAGGAAGUACAGAGGGAGAGGGAGAAAGAGAGAAUCUCAAGCAGGUUCUGCUGCUCAGAGUGGAGAAGUCCUAUGCGUGGCUCAAACUCAGAAAGCAUCAGAUCAUGACCUGAGCCAAAAUCAAGAGUCGGAUGCGUCAUCGACUGAGCCACUCAGAUGAGGAAAAUGAGGCACAGAAGUUAAGUCACGUAAGAUCACAUUCUGAUGAGGAAACGGAGGUAAAGCAAGGUUGUGUAAUUGCUGAGCGAUACAGCUAUUUAACGGCGGAGCCAAGACCAUGGGAGAACACAUUUGGAAGGAUACUUGUCAAGGCUUUGCCAAUCUGCAAUUUGGGGAACACAGUACUACGAAGUCUUCCCAGAGUCAGUGAGAGGAACUUCAAAGGAAGAUGGGAAAGCCCAGAAAACAUGAAGGAAGUGCUCCUGGGGGUAUCUUGGGUUGGAGCUUGGAGGUGACGGAGAAGAGAAUUGUGGGACUGCUGGAAGCCAUUGUUGGCUGGAAUGAAGGAAGGCUAUAGGUAAUAGCGUGGGGCCAAAUGGUAGCAUUUGGGACGUCUGGGAAAGAAGAAUAUGACCAGGAGGAAUGUUUUCCCAGGUUUAAACUGUUUUCCUAUUCAUUACCACAAUGCCUACGUCAAUUACCUGCAUAAAGUGCCUUGGGCCGUCUGUACAAUGUUUGGUUGCUUUGGGUAACCGGGAGGGGAGUGUCUAAUACCAAGUUUUAGAAACUACGGUAGAGGACGAGGCCUCCAAAGCCUCCUACUUGGAGCAGAAGUUUUAUAAUCUACUUGCACAACUAACCUUUAACAUUCAUCUGGAGCCUUUAUAUCUUUCUUCUUCGAGAACCCUCUUUAAGUUGGGCCCUGCUCACCAGCUGGAGUUGGGGGCAAGAAUGCAGAAAGGAGUGAGAGUUUCCUAUUUUCUUUAGAGAGCGACUUAUAUCCUGAGCACUACCAGUGGUGGAGACGGACAGAAAGAGGAAGACACAGGAGAAGGAAGGCAAAGGCACAUAUGGAGGGCACCACCCGGUAACUCCACUCCGGUUCCUGUGAGCUGUUUCCUUGGCUGAUGCUGCGUUAAGAGCUACGUGGAUUCAUUUAUUACGGUCCUUUUGUCUGUCAUUCAAGUGUGUACAUGAUUUUUUUUCUUGUGUUCUUUUUUUUUUUUUUAGCGUUUAUUUAUUUUUGAGAGACAGAGUGUGAGUGGGGGAGGAGCAGACAGAGAGGGAGACACAGAAUCUGAAGCAGGCUCCAGGCUCUGAUUUGUCAGCAUGGAGCCUGACGUGGGGCUCGAACUCACGAACCAUGAGAUCAUGAUCUGAGCUGAAGUCGGAUGCUUAACCAACAGAGCCACCCAGAUGCCGCUCUUAUGUUCUUCUUUCAGCCCCAAAGCAACCAAGCACAGUCAAUAAGCAGCUACCAAGGGUGGGGUGAGGGGAAUGUCCUACCAAUCAUCUGUCUUAAGGAUGCCAUCUUGGCAAGACUGUCCUGUCUGUGCCAGUCAGGGAGGAAUAAAGGCAGACCAUCACAUACAUUAGAUUUAGAGGCAUUCUGAGGGAACUUAGGAGAGGGUGGAUUCUUCUGGAGAACUUUGCCUCAAGCCCUGAAUGCAGUCUCUCAAGAGCAGAACAUGGAUAUUUCCUCAGACAGCCAGAGCAUUUUUGUGUUAUCUUAAUAGUACAUAAAAGCUAUUUGCUGUAAUAAAAAUUACACCAGGCUUGGCAUCUGAAGACUCAGGUUCUGAGAUCUGGCUCUUUUACUUCCUAGCUACGGCCGAGUUGCCUCUUUCAGAGCAAAGUAAUGAAGGGCAAAUGAGAAGCGUUAUGACAACACAUUGUAAACUGUAAAGUUGUGCAAAUAUUAGUUAGUUUGUUAUUGUUACCUAGCAAUAUGCAGGGAUUGUCCUCGUCUAGGUUCUAGUUAAGUAGCCAGGGUCUGUGUAACCAAGUGCUUGGCAGUUUCCAUUAUAACUGAAGGGUGAAAUUAGAUGAUAAUACGGGUUUCAUUUUGAAGACGUAGAAGAAACCACAGGUAAACCGCAUACCGUUUUCCUGAACAGUUGCUUUGGGUGGUAACUACGAAUUCCUUCUCGCCAGGGAUUGGGUGAGGAGGAUUGUGUUUAAUACCAAGGAUUGUAUUUAACUCCCCCACACCCCACCUCAGCAUUUUGUCUUGGGUGUUGCUGAAGGCUUGGCACCCUUAACAGCUCCUUCCCUUCCCAGCCAUAGCUGCUGCUGCUUCUUCGUCGUCUUCUUUCUUUUUAUUUCUUCUACUUUCUUCUUUUAAGUAGGCUCCACUCCCAGUGCAGAGCCCAAUGCAUGGCUCAAACUCACGACCCUGAGAUCAUGACCUGAGCUGAAAUCAAGAGUCGGCUGCUUCGCUGGCUGAGCCACCCAGGCAUUUGAGCCAUAGCUGCUCUGCUUCUUAAGCAUCUCCCCUCCGUAGUGAGUGAUCUUUCUCGCCCGUCUUCCAAACCUGAUCCCACUGUAGCCUGGGCUCAGUGGCUGACCCCCUGCUUCCGUUCCAGUUCCUGCUCUCUGUCUCCUCCCUCAAACGCAGUGCUUCAGAGUCUCCCUUGCUUUCUACGGUCCUCUUCCCGCACAUUCUCAUCGCCCGAGAGGGGAGGUAUGAGACUCGGGUUCCGUAUUCCCGUCUGGGAGCAGUCUGCAUUCUGCUGGAGGAUGUAUUUAGGUGUUUGGACUGAAGGGUCUUUUCAUGCUCCUUAGCACCCACCGAAGUGCACUUUCUGAUGGACAGAUGUUCAGGGAGCACUUUUACGUGGCUGCUUUUCCACUCCUGUGACUCUUCCGUAGUUCACCGGGCAGUCUCUUGGAAGCUCCCAUAAUUGCACACUACAUUAUGUUGCGAACAAGGAGUCACUUCUUUCUGUUUGGGAGGACACCUCUGAGUCUCAGUCAGCCCUGAGAGCCUUUCCUAUGCUGCCCUCCCUGCCAGGCCCUGCUACCCCAUACACCAUUUUCUUAAUGGUGUUUUUUUGCAUAUUCCCGGGACAUAUUAUCCUAUGUCCACUUGUGCCUAAAUUUUCAGAUCUUUCCAGCAGUCCACCUUGACCUCAAGGAUAACUUUCUUCCUUUUUUUUUUUUAAAUGUUUAUUCAUUAUUUUUGAGAGCGCACAAGUAGGGGAGGGGCAGAGAGAGAGGGGGACAGAGAAUCAGAAGCAGGCUCUUACCUCACAGCAGUGAGCCUGAUGUGGGGCUCGCACUCAUGAACUGUGAGAUCAUGACCUGAGCCGAAGGGACUCUCAACCAAUUGAACCACCCAGGUGCCCCAAGGAUCACUUUCUUACAUGCUGGCGACAUCAACUGUCUGGCCUUGCCUCCGUUUUGAUACCUUUGGUCUCUGCUGAGGUUUGGGGUGAAUGGUCCCCAUCUCAGGGCUCACCUCACCGGUCCCAAAGAUCCCCUCCCUCCCAGCUCCGGGACUUAUCUGCGUAUCCUGUCUCCAGUCCCCACAGUUGGAGCUGGGAAGAAAGAGCUUCUGGGCAAGAUGCCACCAGCAAGCCUGUCUCCCUAAGAACAGACCUCUUUUCUCGCUGGUGGAAACCUACCCCUUCUCUCACAGCUGUGUGAAAAGAAGCCAAAUGCCCAUUCUUAAUGUGUAACAACUGAGGCUCACAUGCAAACUGCUGUUAUCUCAGCAGGAGAGCAAUUUGCAACCAUUUAAACUCCUUUCACUCUUCCUUUCUCCUCCGUGCAUGGUUAUACACACACCAGUCCAUAUUUAUUAGUGCAGAUGGUGAGAAACUCGUCAUUGAAAGGGCUUAGAGCACAGAAGGAAAUGGAUUUUUGGCCUCACUCUGGCCUUAUAAACAAGAAGGCUUGAAUGAUUUUUAGGUUCCUGAUUCUUGCCUCAGAAGAGCACAGUUUGCUUCUCUCCAAACACAAGAGGUUGUAAAUUGGUAAUUCAUCUCAGCCAAAGGCCACAUGAUGAGCAAUUGUAGAAGUGUUUUUUUCCUUGUUGUGCAAAGAAGGAACCCGACAUCUGAGUGUGGGUUCCAGCUGGUGUUUUCCUUUCACCAUUUGCAGCCCAAAGGCACGGUCUUGGCCAGGCCUGGGCUCGCAAUACGACUCCUGCCUUUUACCUACAGCACCAUUGCCACCAUGGCCAUCCCAAGGGGAAGUCAGCUCAGCAUUUCCACGUGACGUCGUCUUCUUCUUCUUCUUCUUCUUCUUGUAGCUAAAAAAUAAAUCAGUUCUAAUAAAAACAUUUAUACUAUAUUCUUUAUUGUCAGCUAAUCCUGCCUGAACUCAUUAAAUGGCAGUGUGUGGGUUAUUUGCUGUCAGUGAAAUUAUCAAAGGCAUUUUUCAGCUGGGGCACCAGGAAAACAUAUGCUUCAAUGCCAACUAAAACAAUAAUGAGGAAAUGUUAUGAUCAGUCUUGACCAGAUGACCCUGCCCAUUUUAGAUUAGUUCUUAAUUUCAGCACAAGGGUCAUCCUGUGAAUUCUUACAAUAAGUCACUGCUCACCACUCACAUGAAAAAGAUGUGACUUAUUAGAAAACUCACUGUACUCAUUGCAGUUAAUGAGAUGUGGAAAGCUUUGUAAUUUGAUUUGCUGGGCCAUAUGCUGUAAAGGGAUACUGCUGAUUUCAUUCCUCCGUAUUUAAUUUAAGCAGUAUGCAAUACCUUCUUCAUAUGGCUACUUAUAUAAUAAAAAUUAACUUGGGGUAUAAAAAAUACACCAUUGUGGGGUUUAUUACUUGGUGUGGUUCAGUUUCAAGUGUUUUUCAUGGAAACAUCUGUAAGUAAUGUGUGUGGGUCUAAUUUUAAAUCCCGCCAAAUAUUUUCCAUUUAACAUUUGGUUUAACUGACAAGCCCGCAGAGGUGGUUUUCAGAGUUGUUGGUAACAGAUACGUACAGUAUUCCCAAGGCUAUAGCCUUCUUUUUUUUUUUUUUUUUAAUGGCAGACAGAUAACAGUAAUCCAAAACUCGGUUUUUGAACUUUUUAGCAUUUCAGUGGAUACAAACGGCAGUUGAGAAUGUAGGCACUUCUAACCCUUAAAGACCAAGCUGCGGUUUAAUCUAGUAUCCCCUAAAAUUACCUUGUUUAUGACUUUUGUUUCAACAUCUGCGGCCAAGGAUUCGGGUGGCAGAUUCUCUGGAAGGCUGACUGUGGGAAAGAGACCCUUCAGGACAGGGGCUUGCCUCCCCUCUGAAGAGAGGGGGAGGGAGGAGGACUGACAGUCUGAGACAUGGGCCAAUGCCCAGGGAGGUCUGAUCCUCCAGAGAGGUUCUAGAACGCCAUUCUAUUUUUCUACGGUUGAAAAAAAUACAUAUUUUUUUUCAAAUAUACAAAUAUAAAUAUAUGUGUAUAUAUCCUUGCUCAAUUUUUAGGGGGCACCCAGGCCCCCUGGACUAUCCAAGGAUCUGGUCAGCAGCUGGUCAGUAAUACAACCACCAAACGAGGAGGUGAGGUUGCCGGAUAAAAUAGAGAACCCCGAGUUGAAUGUGAACUUCAUAUAAACAACAAAUAUUUUUUUAGUAUAACGACGAGCCGCAGCCUGCCACACUUUUGCUUGCUCAGUCGGGCACCCCUACCACCGGCCUGGUGACUGCGUGUCGUUCCAGGCCAGGAAGCCUUAUCCGGGUUGUGUGAUGACGGCGGCCGGGCGUGAGCCACAAGCGCCCCCACCCCUCCGGGCUGGGGGUGGGCGCCGCGCUCCGCUUGGAAACGCGCCCGAUCGCACCGGGGCGUCGCGGCACCGCCAGCUCAGCACCGGGCCGGGCACGAGGCGGGGACCCCCAGAAACAUACCGAAACCGUCUCCAUGGCUGCCUCUGAAAUAAAGCGGUGUGUGUGGGAAGAGAAACUCGAGGGGGAAGUUCAGCAACCAACGCAGAGACUGAUGUUUUUGUUGAAGCCUCACGUUUCUGUUCCUUUUGGUGAUGGCGGUGACGGAGGUGCACGAUGGAUACAAUUUUUGUAACACAGCAGUUGCCUCCAAACCCAUUAACCAGCCACGAACGGCGAGUCAGGGAACGGAGUGGAGCAUCUCCCGUCCAUUUUAUUUUCUGGACUUCUGUCGGUGGUGCAAACUGAACUGCAGGCUUGUAACCAAACUUUGCAAAGGGUCUCCUUCGGCUCCUCAACCGCAGAGACGCCAGGCUGCGUGGCCACUGGCCACACCUUUCCUCGGGGCGUGCCAGCCAAGGCAAGUGGCGGUUGGAUGGCGUGCGUGGUCCCAUGUCCGCGUCCAACUCUUUAUAUGUUGUUGACUAGGGGUAACCGCAGCAGUGUUGUGGCCGUGGCCCCGCCGACGCGCAGGAGGAGAGAAUCCACGAGAAGUCUUCGAAUUGCUAGCAAGUGGCCCUGAGGCCCAUACAUGGCUACGUGUCAGCUGAGCUGAGACAAACGAGGUGACAGAAACACAAGGGAAGGAAGCACGGUUAUGCAGCUGCCCACUCCCCUCUGCCCAGACAGGUCCUCGGCGAGCCGCCACCCUGGACUGAUGAGAAUAUGCCAGUGAUAAACCACAACUGUGGGAAACACUGGGUGGGGGCAUAAAUAUCAUCUGUAAACAAUUAGGCAGCCACUGCUCAUUCAGUGCCGUUUUGAGAAGCUAAGGAAGUCUGCAAUCAGUUAUAUCUCCAAUUACCAUAAAAAUAUAUUAGCCAUUCAUUCAUUUAUUAAUGAUUCAUCAGUUAACCACACAUAAUGAGCAAAUAAUUAGCAGUGCUGUACGGUUGCCAAAAUUGAAGAAGUGUUGGCAUUUUAAAGAUGAAAGGUUGCAUUUAUGCAAAAGUCUGGCGAUGAUAAAGUUAAUAUGGAAGAUAAUUAUAAAAGUGGCUGUCCUAUAUUACAGACUGAGGUACCACAAAACUUGCCUAAUUGAACCGAAAUGAAUAUUCUUCCAAAGUCUGCGUGUUGCCACACACAAACUGCUGAAUUUCUCCCGAAGAUCUCCCUUCAGUAAGGUGCACUGCACAAUACAAGUUAAUAAAAUGCCAGACAGCUAGACUGUGUUCUUUGUUUGCUUGGUUCAGGGCCUCGUGGAAAACAAUAAAUUGCAUUCAUGUCAGCUGAGGCCCAUCCCUUUGCUAAUUACCGUUUGGUGCUGAAAUGACUUCUGUGAAAUUGGGAGCAUGAGGAAACAUACAGCCAUACAAGGGAGGCUUUUCAGAGUUUUGCAGUAAAUGUGAGAUAGGCCUCAGGCACACAGAUGUUAAAACAGUGAAUUCCCCCACAGAUUACACUAAUGGAAACCCUGUCAGGGUAAGUCAAAUCCGGGUCUGUGGUCAAAAUCUAAUUAAGGUUUCCGUACUUAAAAAGAAUAUGAAUGCCUGGGGGUGGCGAUGAAUGUAUAAGAAACUCACUUGUUUGUAAAACUGUUAGCAUGAAUAGUAAGUACCGUGGGGCUGUUACCUGCGAUGUAACACCUGCUUUCCGAGUCGCUCUCUGCCUUGCCGCCUGUAUCGGGGCGGGUUAUUCCAGAGGUCAGCGAACUCGGCUCAGGCCACCGUGGCCUCCCGUCCUCUGUGCCCGGUACCAGGCAUGAUUUGAGGUCACGGAUGAAAAUGGAUCCUCAGAAGUCUCUCUGGAAUCCCAGAGGAUGCUUUGCUUUGCCACAUGAAAACCACCCCAGAUGAUUCUGCCCAACUGCCUGGCGCCACUGAGGAAAUAGUUGUUGCUGAGGGUGUGGGGCCGGCCAAAUCUCCCCUCGUGGGGAAACAAAGGGUCGUCUGCUCCGCGGCGCGCCCUUCAGCCUGCCGGGACUACCUCCCCGAACAGCUGCGGCGUGCAGGCGGGGCCCUGCUUCUAAUAGAGGAAAUGAAUUUAUAAUGCUACAGCCUCUUCAUUUUCACCACGCACAAAUUUCCCCUUAAAUACUUAAAAACAACACCCAGGGCUGGAUAUACCUUAAAUUUCGAAUAAAUGAAAUCUUAAUCCAGUCUGUUGCUGAGUCUGAGUUGUUAUUAAAGA